rnacentral:rRNA from 1 species
CCUACGGGAGGCAGCAGUGGGGAAUAUUGCACAAUGGGGGAAACCCUGAUGCAGCGACGCCGCGUAUGCGAUGAAGUAUUUCGGUAUGUAAAGCUCUGUCAGCAGGGAAGAAAAUGACAGUACCUGACUAAGAAGCCCCGGCUAACUACGUGCCAGCAGCCGCGGUAAUACGUAGGGGGCAAGCGUUAUCCGGAUUUACUGGGUGUAAAGGGAGCGUAGACGGGACUGCAAGCUAGAUGUGAAAGCCCGGGGCUUAACCCCGGGACUGCAUUUGGAACUGUAAGUCUAGAGUGUUGGAGAGGCAGGUGGAAUUCCUAGUGUAGCGGUGAAAUGCGUAGAUAUUAGGAGGAACACCAGUGGCGAAGGCGGCCUGCUGGACGAUGACUGACGUUGAGGCUCGAAAGUGUGGGGAGCAAACAGGAUUAGAUACCCUGGUAGUC